rnacentral:sRNA from 1 species
CGCCGCGCUUCAGCCUCAGCUUCGGCCUCAGCCCGCCGCAGAGGGACGCGGAGCCCGGCGCUGAGCCCUGCGCGCGCGCCUGCCGGUCCGAUCUGGACGAACGCGAGGCGUUCUGCGAGAGCGAAUUCGGUGAGCCCGGCCGCCGCGCCGCCACCCCGCGAGCCUUUCCGAGCCCCGGAGAAGCCCGCCCGCGAGAUCCCAGGGCGCCUGACCCGUGCGGGCCGUUUCGCGGUUGCUAAAAACCACCUCCUGGGGGACUGGGAGAGGAACUCGGGGUAAUGCUCUUCUCCAAACUGUUUUUCGGAAGCAGCGGUGAACGGGAUCGUGCACGAUGUGGACGUGCUGGGCGCGGGCAUCCGGCUGGUGACCCUGCUGGUGGAUCGGGACGGGCUGUACAAGAUGAACCGCCUGUACCUCACCCCCGACGGCUUCUUCUUCCGAGUCCACAUGUUAGCCCUGGACUCCUCCAGCUGCAAUAAGCCGUGUCCAGAGUUUAAACCUGGUAUUGAAACUGACCUGAAUGACGCUGCAUAUGUACUUUAUACCACCGUUUGUAACGUGGGUGCCACAGCCCGCGCUGUAGGUCGCCCAGCCUUUUUUUGGGAGCGAUGGGGGACAAUGACAUGAAUGGGAUUUAGACGACCGGCAGCAGGUAUAUUGUGAUGGGCCACAUCUACCAUAAGAGACGGCAGCUCCCUACAGCUCUGCUCCAGGUCCUGAGAGGCCGCCUCCGUCCAGGGGAUGGACUGCUAAGGAGCAGCAGCAGCUAUGUGAAAAGGUUUAAUCGAAAAAGGGAAGGGCAGAUUCAAGGUGCAAUUCAUACCCAAUGCAUUUGAAACAACCAUCCUGGCAUUUCUGGACCGCAAGAGACUUGGACGUCGGCAACAAGACAUGAAAGGUCUACCUUCAUGUAAUGGGUCCUCCUUCAGAAGAGAGCCCUCAGCUACUCUAUGAAUGACUUGCAUAGUUGCAACUGUAAUCUCGAAGGUGUCACUUUGUUAUUUACAAGAUGCUUCUUAAAUGGGCUGCUCCUGAGCUCAGUGUCAAGGUGAUUCAACUGUAGUGCCAGACAAUGAUUUACACAGCUCAGAUAAUUGACCUGUCCAGUUAACAGAUCACUGCUUCAUAAGUUUUUAAAUUAUUUUAAUUUAAUAUUCUUUAGUAGAAAUAGUCCACAAAAACAUUUUCUUGAAUUUAAAUAUACAACUUUUAUAUCAUGUAUCAAACCAGAUUUUAUAUUCAAACGAUCACAUUUUAAAUUCUGUACAUAACAGUAAGCGCACUAGUCAAAAGACACUUAUGUUUGAAAUGUCAUUUAGAUCAAACACAAGGGUCAAAGCCCAGGACAAGUAUUAAAGUUUUAUACUUAAAGAGUACUAAAGGGCCAGUGUGCAGAUGGGUGGAUUAAAAAAAUAAAUAAAAUAAAAAAUAGUACUAAAGGGCUUCAGGCAAAAGUGUUCCUGAUGUACCAAAAAGUAAGAUAUAGUUUAUUUUCAUGGCUCCCUGCUCCUAAUAAUGUAUGUUUUGUGCUGAACUGGCAGCUAUCCCAAUGUGAAAUGUAUUUUGGAUGUAUCUGGUGUCAUUUUUCUAUUAAGACCAAGUAUAAUGUUUGUUUGUAAAGCAAUAAAUCUUGCCUUGAAAUC